rnacentral:lncRNA from 1 species
GCACCAUCUCUCUCUCUCUCUCUCUUUCUCUCUCUCCCUCUCUCCCUUUCUCUCUCUCUCUGCAGUGGGAUUGCCACAACAUCAAAGGCACCUCCCUCCCUCCCUCUCCACCUCUCUCGCUGCAUCGUCCAACAUCCGACACUCAGGAAGAGAAGACGGAGACGAGAUGGACUAAAGAAGAAGAAGAGAGAUGUGUGUUCUCCACUAGGACUCGUCCGUCAACAUUAGGAAUCCUGUACCU